GGUCAUGUGAGUGAUAGUGAUGAUGAUGAUGAUGAUGGUGGUGGUCAUGUGAGUGAUAGUGAUGAUGAUGAUGGUGAUGAUGGUGGUGGUCAUGUGAGUGAUGGUGAUGAUGAUGGUGAUGAUGGUGGUGGUCAUGUGAGUGAUGGUGAUGAUGAUGAUGAUGAUGGUGAUGGUCAUGUGAGUGAUGGUGAUGAUGAUGAUGAUGAUGAUGAUGGUGAUGGUCAUGUGAGUGAUAGUGAUGAUGAUGAUGGUGAUGGUCAUGUGAGUGAUAGUGAUGGUGAUGAUG
rnacentral:lncRNA from 1 species